AUUGAACGCUGGCGGCAGGCCUAACACAUGCAAGUCGAACGAGUGGCGGACGGGUGAGUAAUGUCUGGGAAACUGCCCGAUGGAGGGGGAUAACUACUGGAAACGGUAGCUAAUACCGCAUACCCUCGGAUGUGCCCAGAUGGGAUUAGCUUGUAGGUGCGGUAAGGGCUCGCCUAGGCGACGAUCCCUAGCUGGUCUGAGCGGAUGACCAGUGACACUGGAACUGAGACAGCGUCCAGACGCCUACGGGAUGCAGUAGUGGGGAAUAUUGCAAAAUGGGCGGAAUCCUGAUGCAGCCAUGCCGCGUGUAUGAAGAAGGCUUUCGGGUUGUAAAGUACUUUCAGCGGGGAGGCGUUACCCGCAGAAGAAGCACCGGCUAACUCCGUGCCAGCAGCCGCGGUAAUUC
rnacentral:rRNA from 1 species